GAUGAACGCUGGCGGCGUGCCUAAUACAUGCAAGUCGAGCGAACGGACGAGAAGCUUGCUUCUCUGAUGUUAGCGGCGGACGGGUGAGUAACACGUGGAUAACCUACCUAUAAGACUGGGAUAACUUCGGGAAACCGGAGCUAAUACCGGAUAAUAUUUUGAACCGCAUGGUUCAAAAGUGAAAGACGGUCUUGCUGUCACUUAUAGAUGGAUCCGCGCUGCAUUAGCUAGUUGGUAAGGUAACGGCUUACCAAGGCGACGAUGCAUAGCCGACCUGAGAGGGUGAUCAGCCACACUGGGACUGAGACACGGUCCAGACGCCUACGGGAGGGAGCAGUAGGGAAUCUUGCGCAAUGGGCGAAAGCCUGACGGAGCAACGCCGCGUGAGUGAUGAAGGUCUUCGGAUCGUAAAACUCUGUUAUUAGGGAAGAACAUAUGUGUAAGUAACUGUGCGCAUCUUGACGGUACCUAAUCAGAGAGCCACGGCUAACUACGUG
rnacentral:rRNA from 1 species